rnacentral:rRNA from 1 species
CAUUUAGCUCGUAGGUGACCUGCGGAGGAUCAUUACCGAGUUAGGGUUGCUCCCACGCGCCCGACCUCCAACCCUUUGUCUACCUGACCUUAAUGUUGCUUCGGCAGGCCCGCUGAACCUCCUCCGCCUCACUUAACCGUGGGCGGGGAGGUGACUGCCGCCGGGGGUCCCACGACCCCGGGCCCGUGCCUGUCGACGGCCCAUAACCAAAACUCUUGUUUAAAAACGUGUCGUCUGAGUACUUAAUUUAAUCAAAUUAAAACUUUCAACAACGGAUCUCUUGGUUCUGGCAUCGAUGAAGAACGCAGCGAAAUGCGAUAAGUAAUGCGAAUUGCAGAAUCCGUGAGUCAUCGAAUCUUUGAACGCACAUUGCGCCCUCUGGUAUUCCGGAGGGCAUGCCUGUUCGAGCGUCAUUAUCACCCCUCAAGCCCGGCUUGUUGUUGGACGCGGCGGCCCCUCCGUUUAGCUACGGUUCCGCCCGUCUCAAAGAUAAUGACGGCGUCUGUGAGGACUCCUGUACACUGAGCUUUCGGGCACGUACUAGGCUAGACACUCCAGACCGCCGGUCGUCGUCCCCCUCAAAAAGGGACAAUUAUAACCCCACAAGGUUGACCUCGGAUCAGGUAGGAAUACCCGCUGAACUUAAGCAUAUCAGAG